AUACUUUUGCCAUGUAAUGGUUUCCCGAGAGGGAAUUAAUAGGGAAUCCGGUGUGAGUCCGGAACAGUUCCCGCUGCUGUAAGCUCAUGAGCGCUUUGUCAAUCCUCUUGCCACUAUACGCCUGGUCGUAUGGGAAGGCCCGACAAAGCAGAGUAAGUCAGAAGACCUGCCAAUACAAGCAAUUCCAA
rnacentral:ncRNA from 2 species